rnacentral:misc_RNA from 1 species
UAGAGUUGUAAAACUCCCAAACCCAUGUGAAUUUACCACUGUUGCCUCGGCGGGACCUACCCUGUAGUUACCCUGCAACGCUGGAGGAAGCUACGUUGUAGUGGACCGCCGGAGGAUUUUUAAACUCUGUUAUUACAGUUAUCUGAGCGUCUUAUUUUAAUAAGUCA